rnacentral:rRNA from 1 species
GACGGAGGAUGCAAGCGUUAUCCGGAAUGAUUGGGCGUAAAGCGUCCGCAGGUGGCUGUUCAAGUCUGCUGUCAAAGACCGGGGCUUAACUUCGGAAAGGCAGUGGAAACUGAACAGCUAGAGUAUGGUAGGGGCAGAGGGAAUUCCUGGUGUAGCGGUGAAAUGCGUAGAGAUCAGGAAGAACAUCGGUGGCGAAGGCGCUCUGCUGGACCAUAACUGACACUCAGGGACGAAAGCUAGGGGAGCGAAUGGG